AACGUAGGACGCAAGCGUUAUCCGGAGUUACUGGGCGUAAAGCGCGGGCAGGCGGCUCGAAACGUCUGAUGUGAAAUCUCCUCGCUCAACGGGGAGAGGCCAUUGGAAACGGUCGAGCUGGAGGGCAGUAGAGGUAGGCGGAAUUCCGGGUGGAGUGGUGAAAUGCGUAGAGAUCGGCAGGAACACCCAGGGGGAAACCAGUCGACUGGGCAUCUACUGACGCUGAGGUGCGAGAGCGUGGGGAGCGAACCGG
rnacentral:rRNA from 1 species